rnacentral:rRNA from 1 species
GGAUUGAACGCUGGCGGCAGGCCUAACACAUGCAAGUCGAGCGGUAGAGAGGUGCUUGCACCUCUUGAGAGCGGCGGACGGGUGAGUAAUGCCUAGGAAUCUGCCUAGUGGUGGGGGAUAACGUUCGGAAACGGACGCUAAUACCGCAUACGUCCUACGGGAGAAAGCGGGGACCUUCGGGCCUCGCGCCAUUAGAUGAGCCCAGGUCGGAUUAGCUAGUUGGUGAGGUAAUGGCUCACCAAGGCGACGAUCCGUAACUGGUCUGAGAGGAUGAUCAGUCACACUGGAACUGAGACACGGUCCAGACUCCUACGGGAGCAGCAGUGGGAAUAUUGGACAAGUGGGACGAAAGCCUGAUCCAGCCAU